rnacentral:rRNA from 1 species
AACGGCCGUACCAUGCUGAAUAUACCGGUUCUCGUUAGAUCACUGAAGUCAAGCAGCAUUGGGCGCGGUCAGUACUUGGGUGGGUGACCACUUAGGAACACCGCGUGCCGUU